rnacentral:rRNA from 1 species
GAUGAACGCUGGCGGCGUGCCUAAUACAUGCAAGUCGAGCGAACAGACGAGGAGCUUGCUCCUCUGACGUUAGCGGCGGACGGGUGAGUAACACGUGGAUAACCUACCUAUAAUACUGGGAUAACUUCGGGAAACCGGAGCUAAUACCGGAUAAUAUAUUGAACCGCAUGGUUCAAUAGUGAAAGACGGUUUUGCUGUCACUUAUAGAUGGAUCCGCGCCGCAUUAGCUAGUUGGUAAGGUAACGGCUUACCAAGGCAACGAUGCGUAGCCGACCUGAGAGGGUGAUAGGCCACACUGGAACUGAGACACGGUCCAGACUCCUACGGGAGGCAGCAGUAGGGAAUGUUCCGCAAUGGGCGAAAGCCUGACGGAGCAACGCCGCGUGAGUGAUGAAGGUCUUGGGAUCGUAAAACUCUGUUAUUAGGGAAGAACAAAUGUGUAAGUAACUAUGCACGUCUUGACGGUAACUAAUCAGAAAGCCACGGCUAACUACGUG